rnacentral:lncRNA from 1 species
AACACAUCAACGUUUUCAAUCAUUUAAAACCCUAAAAUUCUAAAGUCUCUUUAUCGAAUACGAACACAUAUUCACCACCGAUUGUAGCCUUCAACUCGCCUCCCUCCAUAACCACCGCAUUUAAUGUAAUAGAUCUGAAGCGACUCAUGUCUGCUUCUCCUUCGUCUACAAAGAUAAAUUGAGUCACAUAUCGAUUCCGUGGUGAACUUGGUGAGUAAAACAUUAAAUUAUAUCCUAUCUCUCCUUUAAUCGAUUUCACGUUUCUUUUUUCUGUUGUGUGCUUUAUUAGAAUUUUAGCUGUCAUUAGAAUGGGCACAAAUAAUAAAGACGUACACUUCUGCUUUCUUCUUCUUCCAUUCUCCCGAAAUCUCUCGCCCACCACCAAGGUAUAUCCCUCUUUUACCAUUUUGUUAUCACAAACCCACUCACACAUCACAAAUUUGAUACAAAGGUUUAAUGUUAAUCUUGGAUUUUUUUUUCCUUGAAAAUAGUUUUAUAAUUGGGGGGUUUUAUCUUAUUUUUUAGGGAUGUAGAAAAAACAAAUGUAAAGGAUGUUAAUGGAAAUGACAGUGGUUCAAGAAUAUUUUUAGGUCAUUCUUUUUAUUUUAAUAUUCAUUUUUACUUUUAUUAAAUACUAUAUUUUUGCAUUAUGAUUCCAUGCCACUGCAGAGGUGGGUGUUCUCCUUAGUCAAUUUUAUAUGGGUAUAACACCAUCUUAUUUUAGAUCCAUUUUUUCAGUAAACAUUUUUAUAGUAUAACUGCUUAUUUGGUGUGUCAAAGAUAUACGAGGUGUAGAGCUGCAAGUUAUCAAACUCGAAACUGGAUACAAUUUUAUUAAAGGUAUUUCACAUCCUGGCACAUCCUGGCAGCCACAAAUGAUAGUUGCUCAUUUUGGGACGACUAAUUAUUUUUUAUAUGCUCUAUUUAUGAUAUUUGUAUAAAUCCGUUGUAGAGAAAGAAAUUAGUAUUAUAGAUUAAAAAAAGAAAUAAGUUUAUCUAAAAGAAUGUCAGAUUUUAAGAUUAAACAUGUCUCGAUCAUGUCAGAUUUUACAAUUUUGAUAAAUUUAUUCUUAUAUGCCUUCAAAAAAUGUUUAAUUAUAAUGCACAUGUUUUGGCUUAAUCUGAUGUUAAAUUUACUUCAUGUAUCCAAUUACAACAUAAGUAGGUAAAAUUUUAUCUGAUUGUUACAUUUUUUGUUCUUUCGUUUUUUAGCAUCUUUUUGUUUAAUUAAAAAAAAUACACGAGUUUAUCAAUAUAUCCAAUUUUAUUUUUUGGUUUGAAAGAAGUUCAUGUCACGUUUUGAGACCCAUCAGGUAUAAAAUAAACAUAUCUUGAGAGUUUUCUUAUGGAUAGAACAACCUUUUGAUCUAUCCUUCGCGAGUGUAAUGUCUUUUUUUAUUUUAAUUAAUUCUAUAUGUGUUUAAAUUCAUAAAGGUGGCUUAGAGUGACCAAAAGUUGAUUUGAAUUUUUGCAAAUCUUAUAUAUGUUUUCUAUUGUUCUCUCUCUCUCACUCUCUCUCUCUCUCUUUUUUUUUUUUUUUUUUUGACAAAGAUGAGACUUUUUUUUUGCCGUUGUUGAGUGAUGUUUGUACCUUAGUGAUAUAAUAAUAAAAAAAUUAAAUAGAAAUUGAAGUUCCAUGUAGAAGUGUUAGAGGUAAUAGUGGUGACAGGUAGUCUUCAUUAUAUCUAUUAUGACAUCGUGGUUCAUAUAAUGGUCUGGAAUGACGAUGUAUAAUAUGAGAAUCAUAAUAUCAACUUGUGAAAUUAGUUUUAAAAUUUUAGUUAAUAAUUGGUGUUUUUAGCUCUUUUUUGGCAUGACAUGUAUUUCUUCUUUUCUUUGCAGUUUUGAUUUGUCUAAAAUACAUUCUUAUUGAAACAUGGCAAUAAUGGUUUGGAAUCACGAUGUAUGCAUGUUUGUUGUUCAAUUUCUAGCACAUCUACUUAUUGGUUUUCUCAUAUUUUGUGUGUUUUUAUUUCAUGUUUGCGAUUUGGGUUUUUUUCUUGAAACAUGGCAAAAAAUAAGUUGUAGCAAUAACUUAAUUUUCGUUCAAUCCUUAUUAUUUGAAUUGUUAUUGUAAGCGAGAGGUCGUUGAUAGAAGGACAAUUGUGAAACAUAUGGGAAAGAAUUAAGCUUCUUUUAUUUUAUAGAGUAAAGAAACGAUCAUUUUUUUUAACACCAAACGUUGUGGGAUGUACAUCAUCUUUAUAACUUUUUUUUGGAACAACAAAUCUA